UUAUAAAAUAUUGAGAAUAUUUUGCUAAUAAAAUCAAGAGAUACAUUUUACUUAUUUUUUUAAAGGAAACCAGUGCAAUUAUCAGCCUUAAUUUGAGAAACAAAUUAAGCUGAUAAAAUUGAGGAAAGAUGGCUUCAUGUUUAUUUUAAGAAAAUUGACUCAAUUAUGUGGAUUUGAUUGAGAUGUUUGCAGUUGAAUCUCAACAAUGGCAGUGACCUGAUGACAUUUUGAAGGAGCAGAUCAACAGUGAGCAUGAUAAGAGGUAAGCAUUAACAGUUUAUCAUUUUUAUUGUCUAAAAUAAGCUCUUUCAUGAAAGACACAUGCUGUUCAAGCUUGUUCUGGAGCCUAGUUUGGUCAAGCAACAUUUAAGCGGGGUGGACAAACAACAGUGAACUUGGUUAGCUGAAGCUAGUAUGUUAGCUAUAUAGCUAUUCAAUGGGGUUAUGCACAGCUAGUGUUUUUCCAUUUAAUAAGGUUCUUUUUAAAAGCUUUGAUGAUGUAAUGCAAUUAACUGUGUUUUAUAUAAUAGUAUAUAAAUACUAAUAUUUGUUUGCUUUUUUUCAGAUUAAUGAAAAAAAUGUUUACUGUAUUUUCCUACAAAAGAGGAGCAGUUUAUGGGUGCUAUACAGCAGAGGAAGAGCUCAUUCAGGAGUGCAAAUGUGGGAAUGCACAGAGAAUUGCUGUCUGCAAGAGGGAUGACCAACCAUGAGGACUUCUGCAUUGUAUUGGAUGAUGAGUGAGUCAUGGCUGGCUUGGAAAAUCUAGAAUUGCUGAACUGGAUUUAUACAAGUAUUCCCCAAAUUAAAAUCACCUUAAAACAAACUUAUAAGUUUCUGACACAAAAUCAAUGUUACAAACUUUUGGGGAAUUUUCACUACAUUGACUGAUUGUGUUGCUAUUAUUUUAAGAUACAGCUUUUAUACUGGUUUUAUAUGUUGUGCAAUUCUCUCAGAGUUUGUCUAAAAUGUGAAUAUUCCUACAAAAGAAAGUUGACAGAGCAUUUUUUUCCUUGACAUGGAUAAAGGACUUUUUUUCAGAGCUUAACAUUGCUGUAAAUUUUAAAUAGAUAUGUUUUAACAAAUUGUAUGUACCAUUUUGUUAUCAGUGGAACAUGUAAUAAAAUAUAUUUGUCAAAAAAUG